UCUUUUUUUCCCGUGUCUUUCUACCCAAAUUAAAUUCACUGAAUCCCUGUUCUGCUCUCCUCUCCAAUUGGUGAAGACAAAAAACAUCACUGGCGAUCCUUCUUUCACCGGCGACCGGUGAUAGAACGCAGCGAUAUUCUACUGACGAUUAAUCCUUGGGCAACUGGCGAUAAAUCUUGGGAAAUGGAUGGUAUCCCCUACUCCAUGCGGAAACUGGAUUUUGACUUGGAUGAAGACAUAGGUGGACCACCAAACCCUUCACUUAACACCACCUAUGAUUUA